rnacentral:rRNA from 1 species
UACGUAGGCAGCAAGCGUUGUUCGGAGUUACUGGGCGUAAAGGGCGCGUAGGCGGCUUUUUAAGUUUGGUGUGAAAUCUCCCGGCUCAACUGGGAGGGUGCGCCGAAUACUGAGAGGCUAGAGUGUGGGAGAGGAAAGUGGAAUUCCUGGUGUAGCGGUGAAAUGCGUAGAUAUCAGGAGGAACACCGGUGGUGUAAACGGCUUUCUGGACCAUAACUGACGCUGAGGCACGAAAGCGUGGGUAGCAAACAGG